rnacentral:rRNA from 1 species
CACGUAGGCACCAAGCGUUGUCCGGAUUUAUUGGGCGUAAAGAGCUCGUAGGCGGUUCGGUAAGUCGAGUGUGAAAACUUUGGGCUCAACCCAAAGACUGCACCCGAUACUGCUGUGACUCGAGUCCGGUAGGGGAGUGGGGAAUUCCUGGUGUAGCGGUGGAAUGCGCAGAUAUCAGGAGGAACACCGGUGGCGAAGGCG